GACGAACGCUGGCGGCGUGCUUAACACAUGCAAGUCGAACGGAAAGGCCCUGCUUUUGUGGGGUGCUCGAGUGGCGAACGGGUGAGUAACACGUGAGUAACCUGCCCUUGACUUUGGGAUAACUUCAGGAAACUGGGGCUAAUACCGGAUAGGAGCUCCUGCUGCAUGGUGGGGGUUGGAAAGUUUCGGCGGUUGGGGAUGGACUCGCGGCUUAUCAGCUUGUUGGUGGGGUAGUGGCUUACCAAGGCUUUGACGGGUAGCCGGCCUGAGAGGGUGACCGGCCACAUUGGGACUUAGAUACGGCCCAGACUCCUACGGGAGGCAGCAGGGGGGAAUAUUGCACAAUGGGUGGAAGCCUGAUGCAGCAACGCCGUGGGCGGGAUAACGGCCUUCGGGUUGUAAACCGCUUUCGCUCAUGACGAAGCUUUGUGUGACGGUAGUGGGUAAAGAAGCACCGGCUAACUACGUG
rnacentral:rRNA from 1 species